UGCCAGCCGCCGCGGUAAUACGGAGGGGGUUAGCGUUGUUCGGAAUUACUGGGCGUAAAGCGCACGUAGGCGGAUUAAAAAGUUGGGGGUGAAAUCCCGGGGCUCAACCCCGGAACUGCCUUUGAAACUGGUAAGCUAGAGUGUGUGAGAGGGUGGCGGAAUUUCUGGUGUAGGAGUGAAAUCCGUAGAUAUCAGAAGGAACAUCAGUGGCGAAGGCGGCCACCUGGCACAUAACUGACACUGAGGAGCGAAAGCGUGGGUAGCAAACAGGAUUAGAUA
rnacentral:rRNA from 1 species